UACGUAGGGUGCUAGCGUUGUCCGGAUUUAUUGGGCGUAAAGGGCUCGUAGGCGGCGUGUCGCGUCGGGAGUGAAAGCCCCGGGCUCAACCUGGGAAUGGCAAUGGAUACUGGCAGGCUAGAGUGCGGUAGGGGAGACUGGAAUUCCUGGUGUAGCGGUGAAAUGCGCAGAUAUCAGGAGGAACACCGGUGGCGAAGGCGGGUCUCUGGGCCGUAACUGACGCUGAGGCACGAAAGCGUGGGGAGCAAACAGG
rnacentral:rRNA from 1 species